rnacentral:lncRNA from 1 species
GGUCAGAGCUCUCCCUGACUCCUCCUCUCCCUCCAGAACUUCCUGCUGCAGACUUCUAAGAGUAAAGGCAGCACCUGGAUGGGACUGUCAGACCUGAACGAGGAAGCCACGUGGCACUGGGUGGAUGGGUCACCUCUGUCACCCAGCCUCACGUACUGGAAGGAAGGAGAGCCCAACAACGUGGGGGAGGAAGACUGUGCGGAGAUCACUGACAGCGGCUGGAAUGACGCCAAGUGUGACGCUGAGAAAUUCUGGGUCUGCAAGACCUCCUCCUCCUCCUGCCCCAACACCUGAACGCGGUUUCUCUCACCUGUCACCGCCGCCCGACCUGGCCGGACAGGUGGUCGAGCUUGACCCCAGUGUCCUUCCUCUUGCCUGUGAGCCCUGGAUCUUAGCAAAGCCCGGAUUCCCUGUCUUGGAGUCCUCGUCAUCUAAGGGGCUGGACGGCGAGGGUCCUUCCUUCGAUGUCCGCAGGUUCUCGCGGGCUUAGCGGUCGUUUCUGGUCCCCCUUUAUGGUUGAAUGCAGUGACCAGGUGUCUGGUGCAUCAGGACCUGGGGCAGUCCAUUCAUCUACUCUGCCUUCCCUGUAGGGUUGGGUGGCCAGGUGCAGCCUGGCUGUCCCCUGUCCUCUGUCCCUGCACACCUUCCUUCCAUCUGCUCAACUUCCAUCCACCUCCCUGCAGCCCUGGCCCCGGGACCUUCCCUGGUUGCUGGAGCUCCUCCUGCAGGCUGGACGCAGCUGGGAAGGGGUUCCCCAGCCAAGGACUGAAGAGAGUCGGAGGAUGAGACCCCAGCUCCCUCUCCUGUGAUGCCCAGUGGACCCUGCAGUCCGGCUCCCGAUCUCUCUUCAAGGAAGGACAUGCGGCCUGGCUGAGGGCAGUCCCCUCCCGCCUCGGGUCUCCUACAGGGAGCUGCUUCCUGUGGGUGGGCUCCCUUCCUGACCCAUCCCAUACGGGUGCAGGAGGGUGACGAUGUGGCCGUGGUGGGCCAACAUGGGGCAGCUCUGAAGGACCCUUCUGGUGCCAUGGCUCCCGGGGGGUCAGCUGUGGCUCUAUCAGAGCUCGGCUGACCUCUUCCUCCACCCCACCGUGCUCCCCUUCGCGGACAUAACAGAAGAUCUGUUUGCUCUUGGUGCUGAUAUUGAGCCGUGGGUGUGCCCUUGGGUAUUUUAGUCUGCUCCCUCACACCUGAAUUUAGACUCAUCAGGUGACUUAGUCGGGGGUCUCUAGGAACCUGAGGAUGGGAACAACCGCUAAACCUCCAGGGAGGGGCGUGGAGACGGAGCUAUACAAAUUCCGGAAGAGGAGCUUUGGCAGUUCCACAGCUGGGGGACAUGAGGAAGUGUCGGAGGGUGGCCCCUGGGAGAGGCACAGACUCACCCCACAAGAUUCUCUCCCUCCCUUCUUGGGUUCACCUGUUCCGUGUGUCUGUUUCCUUCAUAAUAAACCAGUGUUUCCCUUAUCA